rnacentral:rRNA from 1 species
AUGGCGGAGGCGGAGGUGAGCAACAAGAGGGUGAUCCUGAAGCGGCACGUGACGGGGUUCCCCACCGAGGACGACAUGGAGCUCGUCACGGCGACGGCGCGCCUGGCCGUCCCGCCCGGGUCGGCGGCGGUGAUGGUGAAGAACCUCUACCUCUCCUGCGAUCCCUACAUGCGCAGACGGAUGACCAAGCACCAGGAGCCCAGCUAUCCAGAAUUCGUCCUUGGGGAGGUUAUAACUACUUUUGGCGUGAGCAAGGUGGUCGAAUCCGGGCACCCGGAUUUCAAGGCAGGUGAUCUGGUGUGGGGAAUGACAGCAUGUGAAGAAUACACCUUGAUCACUAAGCCUGCGUCGAUUUUCAAGAUCAACCAUCCUGAAUUACCGCUGUCUUACUACGCAGGUGUUCUCGNNNNNNNNNNNNNUACUGCAUUUUCUGGAUUCUUCAACGUGACCAAGCCAAAAAAAGGCGACUAUGUCUUUGUAUCAGCGGCAUCAGGCGCCGUCGGACAGCUUGUUGGGCAGCUUGCCAAGAUCACAGGCUGCUAUGUGGUUGGCAGUGCUGGUUCUGAUGAGAAGGUCAACCUCCUGAAAACAAAGUUUGGAUUCGACGAUGCCUUCAACUACAAGAAGGAGCAUGACCUCAACACGGCACUAAAGAGGUGCUUCCAGCAGGGCAUCGACAUCUACUUCGACAAUGUGGGUGGUGAGAUGCUGGAUGCAGCACUACUCAACAUGAGGCUGCACGGGCAGGUGGCCGUGUGCGGGAUGAUCUCGCAGUACAACCUGGAGCGUCCUGAAGGCGUGCGCAACCUGGCAUGCGUCAUCACCAAGCGCAUCCGCAUAGAGGGGUUCCGGGUGAUAGAGUACUUCGGCACCUACCGCAAGUUCGAAGAGGAGAUGGUGGGUCACCUCAAGGAAGGGAACAUUACAUACAUGGAGGAUGUCGCCGAGGGGAUCGAGAAGGUGCCGGCUGCGCUCGUCGGGCUCUUCUACGGGCGCAACAUCGGAAAGCAGUUGGUGGCCGUUGCACAGGAGUGA